GGGCUCUUAGCUCAGUUGGUAGAGCAGCGGACUCUUAAUCCGUAGGUCGUAGGUUCGAAUCCUACAGGGCCCA
rnacentral:tRNA from 1 species